UCUGCAUGACCCAGUUGGGAACAAGGAUCCCAUGUUGAUUGACUCCCCACCUUGACAAGUAUCUUGUUGUUGGGAUGACCAGCAUGUGACUAUUGGGACAAGAUAGAAGUAUUUACAAAGCCAACAGUUUUGACCAAUUUAUGCGAAUUAGGGCAGAUUUGAGAGUACACUUAAGAGUUUUAAACUUUGUUUGAAAAAACAAAAAACAGUGUUCUUGGAAUAGUUUCUUUGGAGUAGAGCGCAUAAGGCCAAAUUUUAUCUGAUUGUUGGUGAGCACCUGUGGGUUUUUGUGUUCCUUAUGUAGUAUCCCUUAGGUUUGGGUCGAACAAUGUAAACCUUAUCAUUUCCACUGUUUUUAACAUCUCAAAUGAUGUCCCACGUCCUAGGUGCCAAUCCACAAAUGCCCACUCCUACAUCUUCUCCCUCCUCCCUCCAUUUUGCCACUAUGAUGCUGCUCUAAACUCACCCAACUUUUCGAAACCCACCACUCCAGCCUCCUCCUACGUUCGAGCAUCACAUCUCCACAGGACCAAGGGCCUUCCAUCCCAUUGGUUUCAAAUAAUGCCAUCCUCUGAUAUAUAUUGGUUGGUGGUCUAUUUUCUGGGAAGCUCUGGGUCAUCAGCCAGCAUAUAUUGUUCUUCCUCUAUUGCAGGACCUCUCUGUCACAGGACAUCCACUGUUUAAGCACCACCACUACCUCAGGAAGUCCACUGUCUGUGUGUCAACUCCCACUGUUACAGGACCACAAGUGUCUCAGCACUUCAACUAUCACAGCACUUCUACUGUUCAGGAGCUCAAGAGUCUCAGCAUCUCAAGUGUCACAGGACCUCCUUUGUCCAAGAACUGGACUGUCCAAGCAAUACUGCUAUUGCGGGACCUCCACUGUCACAGGAUUUCCACUGUAGGAGCACUACAACUGUCUCAGGACACCCACUGUCCUAUAACCUCCACUAUCCCAGGAAUUCCACUGUCGUAGCACCACCCGUAGCAACUAAAGUGUUUCAGGACAUCAACUGAAGCAAGAUCUCCCAUGAUUCUGCAACUUCACUGCCCCAGGAUCUCUACAGUGACAGGAAUACUUCUGUAUCAGCAAUUCCAAUUUUGCAGGACCUCCACUGUAGCAGAACCUCAAUUGUGCAGCAGCUCCCCUGUAUGUAGAUUGACCUCCACGAUCUCAGUGCCUCCACUUUCAAAGGACCUUCACUGUCACAGAACCGGCGCUAUUUCAGUGCCUCCACUGUCGCAGGACCUACCUCUUCACAGGAUCUGCACUGUUGCAGCAACUGUAAUUUCAAUUUUUCAAAGUCAUUGCUGGUUAUUAGAUUUCAGGCUGAAUGAAAUGAGAUGUUACUUUUGAAAGCAUAAGAAUUUGUUCUAUACCUCUUGUGAUAAAUGCCGUGUUUGCUAGGACCAGUAAACUAUGGAAGACUUCUUCAGCUCAUACCACUCUCCACCUCACUUUGUGGAAGCUGGUGUUUUUAGAGUGUGAUAAACUUCAGGUGAAUGGAUGCAUUCAGCUGCACCACGCUCUAGAGUGGACUACACAGCAGUCAUAUUGAGUCCUUGCUGGGAAGAGAAGAAAUCCAGAAGAAGGAGAAGGCUUGGGUUGGGGGAAGAAUCAUAAAAUACUUAGAGGAUAUUAGAAGGUAAGAAUUAUGGGGAACUGGAAAACAGAGCCAAAGGAAGAAUGAGCACAGAGCAAACUGGGAAGGACAAAGUACAAAGGCACUUGGGUUUUGCCAUCUGCGUGUUCUCUGGACAAUCUCCCUGGGCCACAUUUCUGGGAGAAAACUCUUCCCCCACCCCCUUGUAAGGUUUCAUUCUUGAAGGAAAGCAGCAACACAACUUCAUCAGUGAAUUUCCCCAUUGGAAUUGGUUCAUCCUUUAAUGCUUCUGGGAAAUCCCGAGCUGGGGAAUGUCCUGCUCUCUGCUGAGAGACAGCAGGAAAGUAGGUCGUCCUCUGUUUUCUCGUUGCUACAGCUCUUCUAAGUAUGGCUGAUUGUUGAGUGAAGACACAGGAUACUUCUGGUGUGUAUGUAUGCUUUGUUCACUGUGGGUGUUGUUGGGAGUGUCCUGAAAAGAAGGGCAUGCCCAAUGGCACUUCUGCUUCCUCUUUGACUAGCCUUAUGAUCAUAGGGAGACACUAGGCCAUUGGAAGAUGAGGAGAGCAAUGUGUCUAAGUUGUGUUCACUUCUAUUCCUAUUUAGUCCUAGAGGGAAAUCAGCAAGGGUGUGAGGAAUGCUGCUGUGCACUGACUGUGUGGUGUGAGGAAUGCUGCUGUGCACUGACUGUGUGGUGUGAGGAAUGCUGCUGUGCACUGACUGUGUGGUGUGAGGAAUGCUGCUGUGCACUGACUGUGUGGUGUGAGGAAUGCUGCUGUGCACUGACUGUGUGCUGUGAGGAAUGCUGCUGUGCAUUGACGCUGCCUUUUUUCUUUUCUCCCUACACCUGCAUCCUUCUGGUGGCUCAGGUUGGACAACUAGGUGCCCAUGACCAACUCCUCAUUGUGGAUGGAUUUAGUCUGGUUGGACUUUCUCAGGAAAGGCAGCUGAACUCAUGACUAGUACCAGUUCCACGGUUACCCUGGAAGUUGCAAAUCAAGACAUCCUCUCUCACUGCCUGUCCACCUUUCUUACCAACCCAUUGUCCUCCAUGGUGCAGAGAGGUUCAUUUCAGAAUACUGUUCAAGAAGCUCAACAUUUGUCGUUUACAUAGUAGAAAUUUAUAACAACAAUGUUUUUGCCCUUCUUGCCUUAGACAGUUCUACAGUGGUGUCUAUGGUUAAGUGCCAGGCAGUGAGAACCCAGGAGUGAUAUUCAGAGGUACAAAGGAUGACCUGCAGGUGUGUGCAGCCGUGCCAGUCUUGUUCACCAUGGGAUGGAAGCGGUCCCUGACCUGUGAGCCUAGAGGUGACCAGGUGCUCCAUUCUGAGACUGAGAGAGGCAGGAUGCCCACUCAAGGGUCCAUAGCAGGGAAGGUUUUCAAGCUAUGUACAGUGCUGGAAAAGCCUACACAGGGCAUACAGUUAGCAGUGAUGUGUUUGCAGGGAGUCCAAGGAACCAGCUUUGUACUGAUGCAGGCCUGUCAUCAGUGCCUUGGCGUUUGUGGGACUCAUCCACAGAGGCAUGCAACUCAGAGAACGGUACCCCAACUUGGUGCACAGGAACUCUUUCAGGUGUCACUUGAUUGUCACAGGUUUCUGCUCGGUCAGCAAGGAAGGGAAGCCUAGCCCUGUGCCAGGAAUGACUGCAUAUGGUCAACACACACUACCCUGGAAGACCCGAGAGUUCAAGGACGGCCAACUUUCACUUAAGCAAACUUGUCCACAGACUGCGUGGGUCCCAUCAGCUGAGAGUAGCCUCCACAUUGCAGUGAUGUGCAAACUUCUGCCUUUCAGCCAUGAUGGACUUUAGGAUCUAACCUGAGGACCCUACACAAGGCACAGGUAGGUGAUGUGUAAAUGAGGCAUGUUACUGGGUCAGGUCUUCAGUGCAGUGUCUUAAGCUGUCAGGCUUUUGGGAGGGCAUAUGCUUCUCUAUUAAAUGAGCUGGCUUCUCUGAAGGCCUCAACUCUGCUGUGUCUGCCGCUCAUGCUCCCUCCUCCAAGAAUCUAACUGUCCCUAGCUCUCUGUGACUGGCUGGUCAGUCAGCCUUCAUGCCACUCCACAGCCACUCUACAACACAGAGCCCACACUGUCCUCUGCAGAAGUUUCACAGGGCUGCUGCUUUAGUCUCUCUGUUGCGCUAUGGGGGUCCAAAGUCAAGUUUCUUAGGUCCCUAGGUGUCCCUGAAAAGGCUCUAGAACAAGGAAGAGGUGAAGAAAUCAGGAAAUAAACUCCUGCAGUACUUCAUGACUACCACUGGAGGGCUCUACACCUUUCUGGUCCUAGUGUGCCACUCAGCAAGCCCUCUCACUCACUCUAAGGUUCUGAGCCUGAUGGAGAGGACUCCUGCUAAACCCAGUGUUCCCAAGAAACUGGCUGUACCGGCAGGGCUAACUGUAGAGGAUUCUCCACGACCCUGAGAACACAAUUUGGAAAUCUCAGGUAGGCAGGGUGUGUGGGGGAGCAACCAGGGCUGGAUGGAGACCUUACCCAGAA
rnacentral:sRNA from 1 species